rnacentral:tRNA from 1 species
GGGAGUGGUUGUGUCCCGGUGGGCACCCCAGUCUUCAAAACUGGUGGUCGGUUGCGCAGAGCAAGCGACGGUGGGUUCGACUCCCAUCCUCUCCCG